rnacentral:rRNA from 1 species
AUACGUAGGUGACAAGCGUUAUCCGGAUUUACUGGGCGUAAAGGGCGUGUAGGCGGUCUUGCAAGUCAGAAGUGAAAUUCCUGAGCUCAACUCGGGCGCUGCUUCUGAAACUGCAGGACUUGAGUGCUGGAGGGGAUAGCGGAAUUCCUAGUGGAGCGGUAAAAUGCGCAGAUAUUAGGAAGAACACCGGUGGCGAAGGCGGCUAUCUGGACAGUAACUGACGCUGAGGCGCGAAAGCGUGGGGAGCAAACAGGAUUAGAUACCCUGGUAGUCCACACUGUAAACGAUGAAUGCUAGGUGUAAGAGGUAUCGACCCCUUUUGUGCCGGAGUCAACACAAUAAGCAUUCCGCCUGGGGAGUACGGCCGCAAGGUUGAAACUCAAAUGAAUUGACGGGG